rnacentral:snRNA from 1 species
GGAUGUGAGGGCGAUCUGGCUGCGACAUCUGUCACCCCAUUGAUCGCCAGGGUUGAUUCGGCUGAUCUGGCUGGCUAGGCGGGUGUCCCCUUCCUUCCUCACCACUCCAUGUGCGUCCCUCCCGAAGCUGCGCGCUCGGUCGAAGAGGACGACCAUCCCCGAUAGAGGAGGACCGUUCUUCGGUCAAGGGUAUACGAGUAGCUGCGCUCCCCUGCUAGAACCUCCAAACAAGCUCUCAAAUAGCCUAAGACCUUAUCUAAAAAACAAACUAAAUAAAAGGACUGGGGACAUGGGUCAAGUGGUAGAUGCUU